CUGAAAUUCUGGAGGUAUCAGAAAAACAGAGCACGUGAGCCUGCAAGGCCCGGAUCAACGCCCGGUUGGGACAGGAGACCACCAGGGCAGUGCACAGCUGGGAUUUCAGUCUCUGGUGUCAACUCCUGGGUCUACUGGCUCCACUGAGGGCAGCUACACUCUGCAGCCAGAUGGCCAGAAUUCAACUCCCUGCCCAGGUCUCACCAGCACUUUCCCACUUGGUGCCUCAGUUUCCUCAUCUAUGAAAUGGGGAAACUAACAGCAUUUAUUUCUUGUGGUUGGGUGGAUGAAAAGCGUUAGUAU
rnacentral:lncRNA from 10 species